rnacentral:rRNA from 1 species
GACGAACGCUGGCGGCGCGCCUAACACAUGCAAGUCGAACGAGCGAGAGAGAGCUUGCUUUCUCGAGCGAGUGGCGAACGGGUGAGUAACGCGUGAGGAACCUGCCUCAAAGAGGGGGACAACAGUUGGAAACGACUGCUAAUACCGCAUAAGCCCACGGGUCGGCAUCGACCAGAGGGAAAAGGAGCAAUCCGCUUUGAGAUGGCCUCGCGUCCGAUUAGCUAGUUGGUGAGGUAACGGCCCACCAAGGCGACGAUCGGUAGCCGGACUGAGAGGUUGAACGGCCACAUUGGGACUGAGACACGGCCCAGACUCCUACGGGAGGCAGCAGUGGGGAAUAUUGCACAAUGGGGGAAACCCUGAUGCAGCGACGCCGCGUGGAGGAAGAAGGUCUUCGGAUUGUAAACUCCUGUUGUUGGGGAAGAUAAUGACGGUACCCAACAAGGAAGUGACGGCUAACUACGUGCCAGCAGCCGCGGUAAAACGUAGGUCACAAGCGUUGUCCGGAAUUACUGGGUGUAAAGGGAGCGCAGGCGGGAAGACAAGUUGGAAGUGAAAUCCAUGGGCUCAACUCAUGAACUGCUUUCAAAACUGUUUUUCUUGAGUAGUGCAGAGGUAGGCGGAAUUCCCGGUGUAGCGGUGGAAUGCGUAGAUAUCGGGAGGAACACCAGUGGCGAAGGCGGCCUACUGGGCACCAACUGACGCUGAGGCUCGAAAGUGUGGGUAGCAAACAGGAUUAGAUACCCUGGUAGUCCACACCGUAAACGAUGAUUACUAGGUGUUGGGGGAUUGACCCCCUCAGUGCCGCAGUUAACACAAUAAGUAAUCCACCUGGGGAGUACGACCGCAAGGUUGAAACUCAAAGGAAUUGACGGGGGCCCGCACAAGCAGUGGAGUAUGUGGUUUAAUUCGACGCAACGCGAAGAACCUUACCAAGUCUUGACAUCCUGCGACGGUGCUGGAAACAGUACUUUCCUUCGGGACGCAGAGACAGGUGGUGCAUGGUUGUCGUCAGCUCGUGUCGUGAGAUGUUGGGUUAAGUCCCGCAACGAGCGCAACCCUUAUGGUCAGUUACUACGCAAGAGGACUCUGGCCAGACUGCCGUUGACAAAACGGAGGAAGGUGGGGAUGACGUCAAAUCAUCAUGCCCUUUAUGACUUGGGCUACACACGUACUACAAUGGCGUUAAACAAAGAGAAGCAAGACCGCGAGGUGGAGCAAAACUCAGAAACAACGUCCCAGUUCGGACUGCAGGCUGCAACUCGCCUGCACGAAGUCGGAAUUGCUAGUAAUCGUGGAUCAGCAUGCCACGGUGAAUACGUUCCCGGGCCU